GCCCGAGUGGCGGAAUGGUAGACGCAGGGGAUUCAAAAUCCUCCGCCGCAAGGCGUGCGAGUUCGACUCUCGCCUCGGGCA
rnacentral:tRNA from 2 species